rnacentral:rRNA from 1 species
GAUGAACGCUAGCUACAGGCUUAACACAUGCAAGUCGAGGGGAAACGAUAUUGGAAGCUUGCUUCCGAUAGGCGUCGACCGGCGCACGGGUGAGUAACGCGUAUCCAACCUGCCCAUCACUUGGGGAUAACCUUGCGAAAGUAAGACUAAUACCCAAUGAUAUCUCUAGAAGACAUCUGAAAGGGAUUAAAGAUUUAUCGGUGAUGGAUGGGGAUGCGUCUGAUUAGCUUGUUGGCGGGGUAACGGCCCACCAAGGCGACGAUCAGUAGGGGUUCUGAGAGGAAGGUCCCCCACAUUGGAACUGAGACACGGUCCAAACUCCUACGGGAGGCAGCAGUGAGGAAUAUUGGUCAAUGGGCGAGAGCCUGAACCAGCCAAGUAGCGUGCAGGAUGACGGCCCUAUGGGUUGUAAACUGCUUUUAUAAGGGAAUAAAGUGGGAGUCGUGACUCCUUUUGCAUGUACCUUAUGAAUAAGGACCGGCUAAUUCCGUGCCAGCCGCCGCAGUAA